AUUGAAGUAGGAAACCUAUAAACUUUCUACGCGGUUUUAAUCGUGAAAAAAAAACAAUUAUAAAUCCUGAAGGAUCGAUUAAUUGGUAUACAGUUUAAUUAAAAAAAUUAAAAAAUAAAUAAAUAAAAUAAUGUGCAUUCGCGUAAAGUUAGACCAAAUACAUUUUUUCCAUCCUCCUAUAUACCUAUCGCUAUGAAGGUAUAAAAAAGAUAGGUUAAGAGUUCACAUAGCUGGAAAACUACAUGGAGAAUUAUAUGCAAUACAAGAUAAUGAGCUCCAUUAAAUGAAUUCGAAUGAAACCAAACUGUUUACCAUCCAAAUUCGAUUGUCGGGCAGAUAGAAAACGAAAAUUCACUCAUAGUGAACCUCGGCCUGCAUUUGUGAAACGGCAAAGACUCACUAUUAUCAAGGAAAUUGAAGAGACGACUAAAAAUGAGAUGUGUCGUAUUAUUAUACCUUUGCCAUCUUGUAGUCAAGAUGUCCAGCCACUUGAAAAUAGGUGUAGUAAUGACAAAGCUAUCCAAGUAGCUCCAGCACAGGAACACAAAGGCAAGGCAAGUGUGUAUUGCCACAUCACCCCUUAAUAUAUCUGAAGCAAGUAUAAGUAAACAAUCAGAACCAGCAAAAAAAAAAAACUGUUGUUCCUGAGGACAAAUUUGACAGUGAUGAGUCAAAUGCACCAGCAACAGAAGGAUCAACUGUUGACUAUGGGUUAUAGAAGAAGAAGAUUAAUUCAUAUUUAUUUAAAUUAAUAUUAAUGAAUAUUAAUUUAAAUUAUCGUGCAAAAUUCGUGGUCAAAACAUAUGUGUAUUUUAUAAAUAAAUAUUCAUUCUCAGUA